rnacentral:rRNA from 1 species
CCUACGGGGGGCAGCAGUCGAGAAUCAUUCACAAUGGGGGAAACCCUGAUGGUGCGACGCCGCGUGGGGGAAUGAAGGUCUUCGGAUUGUAAACCCCUGUCAUGUGGGAGCAAAUUAAAAAGAUAGUACCACAAGAGGAAGAGACGGCUAACUCUGUGCCAGCAGCCGCGGUAAUACAGAGGUCUCAAGCGUUGUUCGGAAUCACUGGGCGUAAAGCGGGCGUAGGCUGUUUCGUAAGUCGUGUGUGAAAGGCGCGGGCUCAACCCGCGGACGGCACAUGAUACUGCGAGACUAGAGUAAGGGAGGGGGAACCGGAAUUCUCGGUGUAGCAGUGAAAUGCGUAGAUAUCGAGAGGAACACUCGUGGCGAAGGCGGGUUCCUGGACAUUAACUGACGCUGAGGCACGAAGGCCAGGGGAGCGAAAGGGAUUAGAUACCCCUGUAGUC